GAUGAAGAACGCAGUGAAAUGCGAUACUUGGUGUGAAUUGCAGAAUCCCGUGAACCAUCGAGUCUUUGAACGCAAGUUGCGCCCGAAGCCUCGGCUAAGGGCACGUCUGCCUGGGCGUCACGCAUCGCGUCUCCCCCAAACCGCCAAGGCGGAGGGGAAGGAAGAUGGCUUCCCGUGCCUCACCCGGGCGCGGUUGGCCUAAAUUUGGAGCCCGCGGCACUUAGCUCUCGCGGCGAUAGGUGGUGAACAAGGCCUUGGCCGUGCAAACAACCCGCUGCGAAGCUCUAUGUCACGUGCGCUCGUCGGACCCUUUGAAGUUGCCUUUGGUGACUUAAAACCUUUGCGACCCCAGGUCAGGCGGGGCUACCCGCUGAAUUUAAGCAUAUCAAUAAGCGGAGGA
rnacentral:misc_RNA from 1 species